GGCUCAGGAUGAACGCUAGCUACAGGCUUAACACAUGCAAGUCGAGGGGCAGCGGGAUUGAAGCUUGCUUCAAUUGCCGGCGACCGGCGCACGGGUGAGUAACGCGUAUCCAACCUUCCGUACACUCAGGGAUAGCCUUUCGAAAGAAAGAUUAAUACCUGAUGGUAUGAUGAGAUCGCAUGGUAUCAUCAUUAAAGAUUUAUCGGUGUACGAUGGGGAUGCGUUCCAUUAGGUAGUAGGCGGGGUAACGGCCCACCUAGCCUACGAUGGAUAGGGGUUCUGAGAGGAAGGUCCCCCACAUUGGAACUGAGACACGGUCCAAACUCCUACGGGAGGCAGCAGUGAGGAAUAUUGGUCAAUGGACGAGAGUCUGAACCAGCCAAGUAGCGUGAAGGAUGAAGGUCCUACGGAUUGUAAACUUCUUUUAUAAGGGAAUAAACCCUCCCACGUGUGGGAGCUUGUAUGUACCUUAUGAAUAAGCAUCGGCUAACUCCGUG
rnacentral:rRNA from 1 species